rnacentral:rRNA from 1 species
UACGUAGGUGACAAGCGUUAUCCGGAAUUACUGGGCGUAAAGCGCACGCAGGCGGCGCAUUAAGUCUGACGUGAAAUCUCCCGGCUUAACUGGGAGGGGUCGUUGGAGACUGAUGUGCUUGAGGCGAUGAGAGGGGUGUAGAAUUCCCGGUGUAGUGGUGGAAUGCGUAGAUAUCGGGAGGAAUACCAGUGGCGAAAGCGACACCCUGGCAUUAGCCUGACGCUCAUGUGCGAAGGCGUGGGGAGCGAACGGG